rnacentral:rRNA from 1 species
AGUGAACGCUGGCGGCGUGCUUAACACAUGCAAGUCGAACGAGAACGGGCUAUAGCUUGCUAUAGUUGUCAGCUAAGUGGCGCACGGGUGAGUAAUGUAUAGGUAAUAUGCCUCUUACUAAGGGAUAACAAAUGGAAACGUUUGCUAAUACCUUAUACUCCUUAUUAACAGAAGUUACUAAGGGAAAGAUUUAUUGGUAAGAGAUUAGCCUGUACUGUAUCAGUUAGUUGGUGGGGUAAUGGCUUACCAAGACUAGGACACAUAACUGGUUUGAGAGGAUGAUCAGUCACACUGGAACUGAGACACGGUCCAGACUCCUACGGGAGGCAGCAGUGGGGAAUAUUGCACAAUGGACGAAAGUCUGAUGCAGCAACGCCGCGUGGAGGAUGACACAUUUCGGUGCGUAGACUCCUUUAUAUGAGAAGAUAAUGACGGUAUUAUAUGAAUAAGCACCGGCUAACUCCGUGUCAGCCGCCGCAGUAA